UACGAAGGGGGCUAGCGUUGCUCGGAAUCACUGGGCGUAAAGGGUGCGUAGGCGGGUCUUUAAGUCAGGGGUGAAAUCCUGGAGCUCAACUCCAGAACUGCCUUUGAUACUGAAGAUCUUGAGUUCGGGAGAGGUGAGUGGAACUGCGAGUGUAGAGGUGAAAUUCGUAGAUAUUCGCAAGAACACCAGUGGCGAAGGCGGCUCACUGGCCCGAUACUGACGCUGAGACGCGAAAAGCGUGGGGAGGACGGAACG
rnacentral:rRNA from 1 species